rnacentral:rRNA from 1 species
UACAGAGGGGGCAAGCGUUAUUCGGAAUUAUUGGGCGUAAAGGGCGCGUAGGCGGCCAUUCAAGUGACGGGUGAAAGCCCUCGGCUUAACCGAGGAACUGCCUGUCAGACUGGAUGGCUUGAGACCGGGAGAGGUGAGUGGAAUUCCCAGUGUAGCGGUGAAAUGCGUAGAUAUUGGGAGGAACACCAGUGGCGAAGGCGGCUCACUGGACCGGAACUGACGCUGAGGCGACGAAAGCGGUGGGGAGCAAAC